ACGGGUGAGUAACACGUGGGCAAUCUGCCCUUCACUCUGGGACAAGCCCUGGAAACGGGGUCUAAUACCGGAUACGACCUGCCGAGGCAUCUCGGCGGGUGGAAAGCUCCGGCGGUGAAGGAUGAGCCCGCGGCCUAUCAGCUUGUUGGUGAGGUAGUGGCUCACCAAGGCGACGACGGGUAGCCGGCCUGAGAGGGCGACCGGCCACACUGGGACUGAGACACGGCCCAGACUCCUACGGGAGGCAGCAGUGGGGAAUAUUGCACAAUGGGCGAAAGCCUGAUGCAGCGACGCCGCGUGAGGGAUGACGGCCUUCGGGUUGUAAACCUCUUUCAGCAGGGAAGAAGCGAAAGUGACGGUACCUGCAGAGAAGCGCCGGCUANCUACGUGCCAGCAGCCGCGGUAAUACGUANGGCGCAGCGUUGUCCGAANUAUUGGGCGUAAAGAGCUCGUAAGCGCUUGUCCCGUCGGUUGUGAAACCCGGGCUUANCCCGGU
rnacentral:rRNA from 1 species